rnacentral:tRNA from 1 species
CGGGGAAUGGCGCAGCUUGGUAGCGCGCUUCGUUCGGGACGAAGAGGUCAAGGGUUCGAAUCCCUUUUCUCCGACCA